rnacentral:rRNA from 1 species
AUUGAACGCUGGCGGCAGGCCUAACACAUGCAAGUCGAGCGAGCGGCGGACGGGUGAGUAAUGUCUGGGAAACUGCCUGAAGGAGGGGGAUAACUACUGGAAACGGUAGCUAAUACCGCAUACCAUCAGAUGUGCCCAGAUGGGAUUAGCUAGUUGGUGGGGUAACGGCCCACCUAGGCGACGAGCCCGAGCCGGUCUGAGAGGAUGAUCCGCCACACUGGAACGGAGACACGGUCCAGACUCCUACGGGAGGCAGCAGUGGGGAACCUUGGGCAAUGGGCGCAAGCCUGAUGCAGCCACGCCGCGUGUGUGAAGAAGGUCUUCGGGUUGUAAAGCACUGUCGGCGGAGAGGCGGUACCUAACGAAGAAGCACCGGCUAACUCCGUGCCAGCAGCCGCGGUAAUAC